UACGUAGGCAGCGAGCGUUGUUCGGAAUUACUGGGCGUAAAGAGUGUGUAGGCGGUGCUCUAAGUUCGGUGUGAAAUCUCCCGCUUAACUGGGAGGGUGCGCCGAAUACUGAAAGACUAGAGUGCGGGAGAGGAAAGUGGAAUUCCUGGUGUAGCGGUGAAAUGCGUAGAUAUCAGGAGGAACACCGGUGGCGAAGGCGGGUCUCUGGGCCGAUACUGACGCUGAGGAGCGAAAAGCGUGGGGGAGCGAACAGG
rnacentral:rRNA from 1 species